AAUUAUGAAAAAUUCUAAAUUGCUGUAGUAUUUUGACUAUACAAAGGUAUUGUAAUAAGGUUUUAAUUGAAUGCUAAAAGAAUGGAAUUACAGGGAAAAGUUUUUUUAAAUUUAAUAAUUGAAGUUAUUUUAAUUUGUGAAGAAACAAUUAUAUAAAUUAAAGACAAGAAGACCCUAAGAAUUUAAGAAUUUUAUUAAUAUAUUAUAUGUAUAUAUAUAUAUAAAUAAAAUUCUUAGUUGGGGCAACUAAAAAAUAUAUUAAACUUUUUUUUAAAAAAAAUGAUCCAUUAUUAAUGAUAAUAUGAAAAAAAUACUCUAGGGAUAACAGCGUAAUAAUUUUUGAUAGAUCUUAUAGACAAAAUAGUUUGCGACCUCGAUGUUGGAUUAGGAUACUUUUUUAAUGAAGAUGUUAAAAAAAGAAGUUUGUUCAACUUUUAAAUUCUUACAUGAUCUGAGUUUAGACCGUGAAGAUGAGGA
rnacentral:rRNA from 1 species